rnacentral:lncRNA from 1 species
UUCAGGCAACUGUGACUACCUAUACUUCAACUAUAGGCACAAGGGCAUAGCGAGCAGCCAAGCACAAAAGAGGAAUUGCAUGCGUCUCCAUGAAGAAUGAAGUCUAGGGUUAGAAAGAAGAGUGGUGUGAGAGCAUUGUGUGAAAAAAGAAAAAGAAAGAAAGGAAUGCAACUGAAAUUUGCAAGACAAAAGGCCAAAAGGUUUAGACAAGCAAAAAAAGAAAGAUAUGAAAGUUGGAAGAAAUAAAGUCACUUUAAUCAGUGAUCUCGGGUUUGAAUAUCGCCUACAGAGUCGUCUUUGAUAGAGUGCAACCCCCUU